rnacentral:rRNA from 1 species
CGAUAGCGUAUAUUAAAGUUGUUGCAGUUAAAAAGCUCGUAGUUGAACUUCUGACAUGAGUUGGACGUGUAUUAUCUCUUUGAGAGCAUGUCCUUGUGUCAUCCCAUUAGAUCCUGCAUCACGAUCUUAGCUGGUCGGUUGAGGGAUCUAUGAAUUUACUUUGAAAAAUUAGAGUGUUUCAAGCAGGCUCUUGCUGGAAUACAUUAGCAUGGAAUAAUAGAAAAGGACCUUAGUACGUCACUUUAUUGGUACUAUGACACUAGGUAAUGAUUAACAGGGACAGUUGGGGGCAUUAGUAUUAUUUCAGAAGAGGUGAAAUUCAUUGAUUGAGAUGAGACUAACUUAUGCGAAAGCAUUUGCCAAGGAUGUUUUCAUUAAUCAAGAACGAAAGUUAGGGGAUCAAAGACGAUUAGAUACCAU